rnacentral:rRNA from 1 species
GGCCCGCACAAGCGGUGGAGCAUGUGGUUUAAUUCGAUGCAACGCGAAGAACCUUACCUGGUCUUGACAUCCACAGAACCUUGUAGAGAUACGAGGGUGCCUUCGGGAACUGUGAGACAGGUGCUGCAUGGCUGUCGUCAGCUCGUGUUGUGAAAUGUUGGGUUAAGUCCCGCAACGAGCGCAACCCUUAUCCUUUGUUGCCAGCGGUCCGGCCGGGAACUCAAAGGAGACUGCCAGUGAUAAACUGGAGGAAGGUGGGGAUGACGUCAAGUCAUCAUGGCCCUUACGACCAGGGCUACACACGUGCUACAAUGGCGCAUACAAAGAGAAGCGACCUCGCGAGAGCAAGCGGACCUCAUAAAGUGCGUCGUAGUCCGGAUUGGAGUCUGCAACUCGACUCCAUGAAGUCGGAAUCGCUAGUAAUCGUGGAUCAGAAUGCCACGGUGAAUACGUUCCCGGGCCUUGUACACACCGCCCGUCACACCAUGGGAGUGGGUUGCAAAAGAAGUA